rnacentral:tRNA from 1 species
GAAGAGAUGGCUCAAUAGUUAAGAGCACUGACUGCUCUUCCAGAAGACCUGGGUUCAAUUCCCAGCACCUACA